GGCCCGUUCCCGAGGCCGGAGUCCCGACCCGAAACCGUCCCCGGCCGGCUCGCUCGCUCAGCAGGGCGCGGCUCCAGCGCCACCCGGUUCGCCCCGAAGAGUUCGCAGAUUUCCGCCCACCUUCCGCCUAGUCUAGCCGCGCCGCAGCUAGCGGGGUGAUCUUUCCCCCGCUCUGGUAGGAGUUGGUGAAGAUUUCUACCGCAAAGAGAUCGAAGUGGACUCUUCCCCGUCCGUGCUGGAAAUUCUGGACACCGCAGGAACUGAGCAGUUUGCCUCCAUGAGAGAUCUCUACAUCAAAAACGGCCAAGGUUUCAUCCUGGUUUAUAGCCUGGUUAAUCAACAGUCUUUUCAGGAUAUCAAGCCAAUGAGAGAUCAAAUUGUCAGAGUGAAGAGAUAUGAAAAAGUCCCACUAAUCCUAGUAGGAAAUAAAGUGGAUCUGGAACCAGAAAGAGAGGUUAUGUCUUCAGAAGGCAGAGCUCUGGCUCAAGAAUGGGGCUGUCCUUUCAUGGAGACAUCGGCAAAAAGUAAAUCAAUGGUGGAUGAACUUUUUGCUGAGAUCGUCAGGCAAAUGAACUAUUCAUCCCUGCCGGAGAAGCAAGAUCAGUGUUGUACAACUUGCGUCGUCCAGUAAAAAAGAUAACCUCAAUCAUGGCCAUACCGAGCAGAUAAAACUCAGAGGAAAUUUGCACAGAUGCUGCUUUGGAGAACUUUACAACCUGGGUUGCAGAACUGAGCCUUGGUAAACCUGUCUCUAUUACAGCAUGUUGCCAUACAUCUAUUUAAGUGCGUAAGGUCUUUGGCCUU
rnacentral:sRNA from 1 species